rnacentral:rRNA from 1 species
ACCGUAGUAAUUCUAGAGCUAAUACAUGCGUAACGUAGCGACUGGGGCUUGUCCCUGGGAACUACGAGGUUAUUAGAUAAGUAACCAAUACCCUUUUUGGGCUUUCGGUGAUUCAUAGUAACGACUCGGAGCGAAUUUGGUCUUUGUACCAUCGCCAUGACAUUCGAAUUUCUGCCCUAUCAACUGUCGAUGGUAAGAUAGAGGCUUACCAUGGUUUUGACGGGUGACGGAGAAUUAGGGUUUGAUUCCGGAGAGGGCGCCUGAGAGACGGCGACCACAUCUAAGGAAGGCAGCAGCCGCGCAAAUUACCCAAUCCUGACACAGGGAGGUAGUGACAAGAAAUAACAAUACGCGGCUUUUCUAAGUUGCGUAAUUGGAUUGAGACUUAUGUAAAACCCAUUUCGAGUUGUGGAGGGCAAGUCUGGUGCCAGCAGCCGCGGUAAUUCCAGCUCCAAUAGCGUAUUUUAAAGUUGCUGCUAUUAAAAAGCUCGUAGUUGGAUUUCGGAGUAUCAUUGAGGGGUUUAGUCUGAGCUGUGUUGUCUUCGGAUGGCAUGGUUCGUGUACUAGCUCCGCUGUGCUCCGUGAAUGCUUGUGUCUUGGGGGUCUGGGCUUAGUUUGCCUGGGCUCUCGAACCAGGCCUUUUACUUUGAGAAAAUUAGAGUGUUCAAAGCAGGCGUGAUUGCGCAUGAAUAGAUUAGCAUUGAAUAAUGGAAUAGGACUUUGGUUCUAUUUUGUUGGUUCGAGGACCAGAGUAAUGAUUAAUAGGGACAGUUGGGGACAUGGGUACGUCUUGGCCAGAGGUGAAAUUCUUGGACUCAAGACUGACUAACAUCUGCGAAAGCAUUUGUCAGGGAUGUUUUCAUUAAUCAAGAACGAAAGUUAGGGGAUCGAAGAUGAUUAGAUACCGUUGUAGUCUUAACCAUAAACGAUGCCGACUUUGUGUCGGACCGCGUCCUUUUAGCGACCGGUUCGGCGCAAUAGGAGAAAUCAAAGUUUUUGGGCUUAGGGGGGAGUAUGGUCGCAAGGCUGAAACUUAAAGGAAUUGACGGGGGGGCACCACCAUGGCGUGGAGCUUGCGGCUUAAUUUGACCCAACACGGGGAAACUUUCCAGGUCAGGACAAAGUUAGGAUUGACAGAUUGAGAGCUCUUUCUUGAUUCUUUGGUUGGUGGUGCAUGGCCGUUGGCAGUCCGUAGAGUAAUUCGUCAGCUUAAUUGCGAUAACGAACGAGAUCUCCGCCGAUAAAUAGAUACGCGGG